AUUGAACGCUGGCGGCAGGCCUAACACAUGCAAGUCGAACGAGUGGCGGACGGGUGAGUAAUGUCUGGGAACCUGCCUGAUGGAGGGGGAUAACUACUGGAAACGGUAGCUAAUACCGCAUACCAUCGGAUGUGCCCAGAGGGGAUUAGCUAGUAGGUGGGGUAACGGCUCACCUAGGCGACGAUCCCUAGCUGGUCUGCGAGGGUGACCAGCCACACUGGAACUGAGACACGGUCCAGACUCCUACGGGAGGCAGCAGUGGGGAAUAUUGCACAAGGGGCGCAAGCCUGAUGCAGCCAUGCCGCGUGUAUGAAGAAGGCCUUCGGGUUGUAAAGUACUUUCAGCGGGGAGGCGUUACCCGCAGAAGAAGCACCGGCUAACUCCGUGCCAGCAGCCGCGGUAAUUC
rnacentral:rRNA from 1 species